rnacentral:rRNA from 1 species
GACGAACGAUGGCGGGGGGAGGAACAAAGGCAAGUCGAACGGAAAGGCCCUGCUUUUGUGGGGUGCUCGAGUGGCGAACGGGUGAGUAACACGUGAGUAACCUGCCCUUGACUUUGGGAUAACUUCAGGAAACUGGGGCUAAUACCGGAUAGGAGCUCCUGCUGCAUGGUGGGGGUUGGAAAGUUUCGGCGGUUGGGGAUGGACUCGCGGCUUAUCAGCUUGUUGGUGGGGUAGUGGCUUACCAAGGCUUUGGAGGGGAGCCGGCCUGAGAGGGUGACCGGGCCAAAUGGGACCGAAGUUCCGCCCCAGACUCUACCGGAGGGCAGAGGGGGGAAUAAUGCCAAAAUGGCCGAACGCCUACUGCAGCACCCCGCCGUGCGGAUGACGGCCUUCGGGUUGUAAACCGCUUUCGCCUGUGACGAAGCGUGAGUGACGGUAAUGGGUAAAGAAGCACCGGCUACCUACGUG